GGGAAACCCUUCCCCUCCCUCUCUCCACAGCGCCGCCCCACUCUCACUCUUCUCCGUUUUUGCUCCAGAAAGAGGAGCUACCAGACUGCUGCUCCGUCUCCUUCACCUCCCCUACCUCUAUCUUCUCCGUCUCCUUUUUCUCCUCGUUCGGACCAGCAAAGCGUAGCUGGCAGCUGCAAUCUCCGGCAACAGCUACAAACAGCUCCAUCCGGCAAACAGCCGCCUCUCAUCUUCUUCCCUUCUCCCUCUCCCGUCGCCUCCUUCUCUCCUUUCUCCCUUCUUCUCCUUGCCCCUUUCGAUUUUCAUUUUUCUUUGCAGGUACUCCGGCGAGCAACAGCAGCAGCGAUGCCAGCGAGAACCAGCCGCAACAGCUUCCAACAACUCCGGACAGCAGCCACUAGCGACAACGGCUCUGGCAAAGGUGACCACUGAAGGCCAACGACAGCAACAUCAGCAACCGGCUGAAGCAGCAGCAACAAACGACGGUACAUUACACACCACCGCCUCAAUCCCAUAACUCCCAGCGUUGUCCAAAGAAGCUUACAAACUCCGACAAAUCUCCCUUCCAGAUCUGGUUGAGAAAAGAGACUUUGCUUGAGGGCUCAACCAAGUCGUCAAUUUGAGUGUUGAGAGAAAAGAAACUGCGGAGAAGAUGAAUCAGAGGUCAGCCGUAAGAGGGAGGCCGUCGGGAACUGAUGGCUCUGAUUUCUCCUACCGCAUGGUCGUUGAUUCAAGAUACACGAAAGUUGCAAAAGCAAAGUCUCGUUUGGCCAAAUUGAUCAUCGUUCAGGUUGUCACUCAAUUGAUGAUAGCAGCUAAUGUAUUUGUUUCAUUAUCAAAGAACGAGUCUCCCGACAGAGUCUCGGUUGUUUCCCUUGGGAUUGGUUUCGUGUCUGUUGUGGCAGGAGAACUAGGUCGAAAGAAAAGCCGAUCCAACUUUCUGAAGUUUUAUGUCUUUGGGUCGUCAAUGGCAAUCCUGCUGUCAGUGGCAUAUCUUGCUAUGAGCAAGUUCCAAUUGGAGGCUUUCCAAAAUUUCACGAGUUUGGAGACUCUAAAGAUUGCAGCUGUCCUACUAGGAUUUUUGGUACAAUUGUUUGUAAUUGGUACAACCAUUUCUCUCAUUAAAAAUAUGGCACCUCCUAAGAGGGCUUCUUGAUUAUAGUCACUCUGGUGCAACUUCAAAUGCCUUUUGACUGACUAAAGAGGAUACUUAUAUACAUAUGGCGUUUUUGAUUUAAGAUAACGUGAGCUGAGUAUCAGAUCCUACUGGUGUACUUUGGAUAUCAGUGUUUCUUCUCUUCACACAAUUCCGCGUCGAGACAUGAUUGUUGGAUUUAGAAGGACUCGUACUGGAUUGAACUCACUUCCUAUCUUUUACAUUAUGUUUCAUCAGAUGCUACGGUUGCUGAUCGCGUACAUUCUCUUGGGACUUAAAAUACACAUUUUGGCUAAAUACUCAAAUCAGAAUUUUGAGAACAUGGAUUUUGUUUGAUGAUCUUUACUUGGCUCUUGUUUGUUGAAUUCUUUAACUUCACUUGGAAACAAA
rnacentral:misc_RNA from 1 species